CCUCUCGAUUCAUACCUCCAAUUCCGCACACUCUCGAUUGCAGGUUUCAUGUUGAUAAGAGCUGAUGCAUAAACCCUUCCACACGCUCGAUUGCAGGUUUUCAAGACCACGAUCAUGCUCGAUUGCAAGAUGUCAGGUUUGCAAAUGAAAUAGUGGGAAUGCAAGAUUUUGGCAUGUUGGGGUGUAGAAACAGAGAAGAAAUUGGCACCUAUGUUUAUAAAGCUCAUGAUAUUUGUCCUGUUGGAUCACUCACCUUGAAGCCAUUUGCUUAUAGUGGAACUUGGAGCUGAAAGGCACUAAGAGCAUUGAUGUUACUGAUGUAGUUGCACGCUUCCUAGCACAAAUUAUUGCUUCAACAUGCUCUGGUGGCUUCCUUCCCAAAGCGACGAUUUCAUUCCCCAAAAUUGCGAUUCAAGCUCCUCUACGCAACACGCUCAAAUAUGAUUAGAAAUAGGUUUGGGUUCUUAUUGAUAUCGCUCAACCGAUUCGUUGCCCUUGUUGCAUUGUCGAUCCAUCACUAAUCCAAUCGAGCUUGUGUUUGAAGACCUACUUGAGAGGGCCAAGGAGAAAGAAGAGAAGGAAGCUAAAAAGUGUCAGCGUCUUGCCAAAGAGUUCACCGAGUUAUUAUAUGACAUCAAGGAAAUUACUGCGUCUUCCACAUGGGAGGAGUGCCAACAACUUUUUGAGGAAAGCUCCAAAUACAGAGCUGUUGGUGAUGAGAGCCUUGCUCAUGAGACCUUUAAGGAAUAUGUUGCUCGUUUGCUGGAGAAGGCAAAAGAGAAAUAACGGAAGCGGGAAGGCUUUUGGAGUGAUGAGGAGGCUAUCAUGCUUGCAAAUGACUCAAAAUAUAGGCUUGGAUGUGCUAUUUUUCCUAGCAGUCAACGUCGUGCCAAAGCGAUAGCCUCACAGAUACAUUGUGGAGUUGUCGCUAUUAAUGACUUUGAGUCCACAUACAUGUGUCAGGUAACGUUACAUAAUGUGUGUUUAUGUUAUCUCGAAGGCACUCCUUAAGGUAACUGCUGUCAACUUAUGUUUAAACCAAUCAAAUGGGGAUUUCAGUUACAUUAAUUKCUGGUUUUACUCUAACCCAACAACCUUUCAUAUCUCGAAUAGCUGCAUCCCAUAGAGUUGAUGCUAAAAUCGUAUCCAUAUUAAUGAAAAAAACGUAUUUGCAUGAAACAUGCUUAUGCUCAAAUAGGCAUGGCAAAAGAAGCUGCAAAUGCUGCAUCACAGACUAAAGACGGUGAGUUGCUGGGCCGCCUCAUAAACACUUUACAACAGAGUUCGGCAUCUUCAUCCAUUUUUGAUACUCUUAGAGAUCGACCAUCCUUCCCGAGCGUUUCUUAGUGUUCCUAUGGGCUGCUAUUUUCUUUCUCGUGGAUGAUCAAAUUGUCGAUA